rnacentral:misc_RNA from 1 species
GGAUGAAGAACGUAGCGAAAUGCGAUAACUAAUGUGAAUUGCAGAAUUCAGUGAAUCAUCGAGUCUUUGAACGCACAUUGCGCCCCCUGGUAUUCCGGGGGGCAUGCCUGUCCGAGCGUCAUUGCUGCCCUCAAGCACGGCUUGUGUGUUGGGCUCCGUCCCCCCGGGGACGGGCCCGAAAGGCAGCGGCGGCACCGAGUCCGGUCCUCGAGCGUAUGGGGCUUUGUCACCCGCUCUGUAGGCCCGGCCGGCGCCAGCCGACAACCCAUCAUCCUUUUCAGGUUGACCUCGGAUCAGGUAGGGAUACCCGCUGAACUUAAGCAUAUCAAUAAGCGGAGGA